rnacentral:rRNA from 1 species
AUGGGCCGGGCCCAUAGCAGUGAGCGGCAAACAAUAACUGGCCCCUCAGGCAGUUUUUGGGUUUGGUUCGCCCCUAGCAGCCCGCCCCGUCGCCGUUGUCCGUCCUCCAAGCUGCGCCGGGCCGAGCUCCCGGCGGCCGACCCCGACCCCGACCUGCGUCCCCGCCGCGCCACGACCCCCCACCACCGAGCUUCGGGCCGCGUCAGCGCCAAAUGCAGCGACUGCCGUGCCCGCUCGCCGGCUAGCACCACGACAACGCCACCGACCACGCCUGCGAGCUCUGCGUGCUCUUCUCAACUUCUCUCGGUGAUUUAUGCGAUGCAGCACGCUGCAGCGACGUCUUCUUCUCCUUUCUCCGCGGGCGCUCGCCAGUCCACGCUGCCACCCAUCAAUGUUGACAAGUCACCGUCUAAAAGGUUGUCCCAGAAGAUGACUGCAAUGAAGGCUGCCAAUAAAGAGCUGAAAGGGAUGAUGAAGACUGUCAGGAUUGAAGAUAUAGAUAGCAUGCAAGACGAGAUGAUGGAUCUUAUGGAUGUGAGCAAUGAAAUACAAGAAACUCUUGGUAGAAGCUACAGUGUCCCAGAUGACAUUGAUGAGGAGGAACUUAUUUGUAGUUGGCCAUUCUUAGAUGACUCUAACACUAGUCCCAUCAUACCUCUAACGAAACAAGGAGACAUAUCUUGUUUCGAGCUUAACUUACCUGCUGCACAAAGUGGUCAUGCAGCAGUCAUGGCAAAUAGUCAGCAGGGACAAGGAUUACAUACUCCUGGAUACAAUGCUCCAUCACAAGGACCAGAACUUCAUACUCCUUCCGUACAAUCCUCUCUCUGCGUGUUUACAUUCAUUUGUUCCUGUUUACGCAUCGACCCUUGA